UACGGAGGGGGCUAGCGUUGUUCGGAAUUACUGGGCGUAAAGCGCACGUAGGCGGCUUUGUAAGUUAGAGGUGAAAGCCCGGGGCUCAACUCCGGAAUUGCCUUUAAGACUGCAUCGCUAGAAUUGUGGAGAGGUAAGUGGAAUUCCGAGUGUAGAGGUGAAAUUCGUAGAUAUUCGGAAGAACACCAGUGGCGAAGGCGACUUACUGGACACAUAUUGACGCUGAGGUGGCGAAAGCGUGGGGAGCA
rnacentral:rRNA from 1 species